GACAGAGGGUGCAAACGUUGUUCGGAAUUACUGGGCGUAAAGCGCGUGUAGGCGGCUUGGCAAGUCGGGUGUGAAAGCCCUGGGCUCAACCUAGGAAGUGCACUCGAAACUGCCUCGCUUGAAUGCCGGAGAGGAAAGCGGAAUUCUCGGUGUAGAGGUGAAAUUCGUAGAUAUCGAGAGGAACACCGGUGGCGAAGGCGGCUUUCUGGACGGUGAUUGACGCUGAGACGCGAAAGCGUGGGGAGCAAACAGG
rnacentral:rRNA from 2 species